rfam:Ixodes scapularis strain Wikel colony gcontig_1108378962244, whole genome shotgun sequence.
UCUUAGUUGGUGGAGCAAUUUAUCUGGUUAAUUCCGAUGACGGACGAGAAUCUAGUCUAUUAAAUAGGUGCGUGGUUCUCUGCACCUUGCACCCUUCUCAGGGGGACAAGCGGCUCCUAGCCACACGAAACAGAGCAAUAACAGGUCUGUGAUGCCCUUAGAUGUCCGGGACGCACGCGCGCUACAAUGAAGGAAGCAGCGUGUUUUUAUCCCUGUCUGGUAAGACAGUAAGCUUAGGAAAAAGAGGCUUGAGCAAAUACAGAGGGCUAAUUGAAGUCCAUCGGAUUACCCCGCAG